UACGUAGGGGGCUAGCGUUGUCCGGAUUUAUUGGGCGUAAAGAGCGUGUAGGCGGCCCGGUAAGUCCGCUGUAAAAGUCAAAGGCUCAACCUUUGAAUGUCAGUGGAUACUGUCGGGCUAGAGUCCGGAAGAGGCGAGUGGAACUCCUGGUGUAGCGGUGGAAUGCGCAGAUAUCAGGAAGAACACCAACGGCGAAGGCAGCUCGCUAGGACGGUACUGACGCUGAGACGCGAAAGCGUGGGGAGCGAACAGG
rnacentral:rRNA from 1 species